AGCAGCCGCGGUAAUUCCAGCUCCAAUAGCGUAUAUUAAAGUUGUUGCAGUUAAAAAGCUCGUAGUUGAAUUUCGGGGUUAGUAGGUCAGUCGUGCCUCAGGUAUGUACUGAUCUCACUGAUUCCUCCUUCCUGAUGAACCGUAAUGCCAUUAAUUUGGUGUUGCGGGGAAACUGGACUGUUACUUUGAAAAAAUUGAGUGUUUAAAGCAGGCUAACGCUUGAAUACAUUAGCAUGGAAUAAUGAAAUAGGACGUUCGAUCCUAUUUUGUUGGUUUCUAGGAUUGACGUAAUGAUUAAUAGGGAUAGUUGGGGGCAUUAGUAUUCAAUUGUCAGAGGUGAAAUUCUUGGAUUUAUUGAAGACUAACUACUGCGAAAGCAUUUGCCAAGGAUGUUUUCAUUAAUCAAGACCGAAAGUUAGGGAUCGAAGACGAUCAGAUACCGUCGUAGUCUUAACCAUAAACUAUGCCGACUAGGGAUCGGGAUGAUGUUAAUUUUUUAAUGUACUCAUUCGGCGUCCUU
rnacentral:rRNA from 1 species